UGAACAUAUGAAGCCAGGCUACCAAAUUGUGUAAUCGAUUGAUUUAAAAAAAAUGAUCAAAAGAGGAAAAGUUUCAUAAUAACUUAUCCAAUUCUAAUCCCAUAUCUUAAUUGUGUGACUAAUCAGUCAACAACAAUAACCCAUUUUAAAAAGCGCGUAUGAAUACAUGUCAAAAUAGCGUGGGCGAGGAGAAACGCGUCACUGAAAUGAUGACGUAUAUAGUGGGCAGAUGAUACUCGAGAAUACUGAUAUAUUGAACAACAGUUGAUCAGUCGGGGAAUUCCUGGUGAAUAUUGGGAAUAACUCACAGAAGAAUUAUUAUUAUUUUGAAACAACAUGGAACUGCUAAUCUGGGAAUUGGACCAUGCUGGAAUGGAAAAGAUUCCUACAGAAUGCAGUUUCUGGAGAAAUGAACAAAGGCUGUUGUAGACACAAUAUCUGUAAUUUAAUUACAGGUUUGUAUUUUGAAGAUUAAACGGUUGAGAAAUAAUUUUAUUAUUAUAUAAUGUAAUUGCGAUCUUUAUUCAUGAACAAUUAAAAAUUGUGAAUCUAAUCGACAAGUUGUUAGUGAAAUGAAAAUCACAAUAGACACUCUAUAAUAAUGAAAUUACCUUGAAUACUUUGAAUCUUCAUUGAACAGUAGCCCAAGUAAAACAUGUCACAUUAUUCGAUAAAAUCCUUCAUGAAGCAUAAGUCAUCCUGAUUGACAAUAGUUUGGUUUGGGUCAUUUUGUUUUCACUGCACCAGCUUAUCAUGUUCUAAGGUCCUCUUGUAUGCUUAUUUUCAAAAUAUUCUCUAAUCACUGGUUGGAUGUCCGAAUGGUUAGCGCGUGCAUGUUGUAUCAUACUGUCUGUCAUUGAGUCAACUGGUGUGGUUUCGAUUCCCCGGUUUAUGUGACAAGGAGUAGGGUUGCCUGUCCACCUGCAUGGAUUUUCUUCAGGUCCUCCCACUGCUAAAUACUCAGAUGCACAAGCCAAUUAUUGAUAUAAAAUUGAACCUUAUGUUAGUCCCGAAAUGACCCCAUUUAUCUCUCUCUCUCUCUAAUCACUGCUACAUGAAGUGGUGACUCUUAGGAUAUAAUGGAUAAAUUAUAGAGGAAACACCAUAAUAAGGACUUUAAAAAAUGGUCCAGAUGAAAAACGAAACCAACUUCCCAUACCAAACUUCUGUCGUGGGGGCAUCCUAUGUUUGAUGAUGGAUCAUUCCUGCGAACAUUUAGCAGUAUGGUCAUUGGCCCACCAAUAAUUUCUGUUGAUUUGAAAUCACCUGUUACGCCUUUUGUUAAAAAUGCAGAUCCCAUCGACUGUCAUAUUGAAAUCUUGAGCAACCUUUAUCUCAUUGGUAUAAAAUAUUACAUAAAUAUUGGUUAAAUUUUCUCAUGUUAGUUUAGGGGCUAGACUUUCAGUGACAAAGAUGGGUAUUUUGAAAUCUUGAAAUGGAGGAGAAAGACCUGAAUUUUUCAAAGAUUGAAAUGGGAGAAUACUUGUGAUGCUGCAGGGGGAAGAACUGAAAUUCCAGUAAAGCAUUGUUAUAGAUUUAUCAGAAUUAUGAGUUAAUGAUUUUGACUGUUGAAAUGUAUCUGUGUAAAGAUGUAUCAUGAUAAAUAAUCACACCAUUAUUAUUCAUACCAUAUAUGUAUCAUGGUUGCGUAGCAACACCCUCUUUUGCAUUUACAGCCAUUGUCUAAAAGGGAUUUAGCCUUUCACUACCCACCUGGACCUGUCCCUGUAUAGACUUGAUUACCUAAAUCCAGUGAGUAACACACCAGAACCUGGUGGACAGCCUUUUUACACCCCACCCUAAAACCAUGGUUAUGAAUAAGAACAAUCAGUUUUUAUUUCUAUUUAUUGUUAUUUACUACUUGACAAAAAUGCUUGUGCCCCUUUAAAGUGAGAAGAGCAUCAAGCUGUGUCUAUGAGGAAGGGUGAUUCAUAUGCAUGUUAGUCAUCAAAUGACAUCUGUCUUUCAUAUUUGUUGAAUGUUUAUAAUUAUAUUGUAAAACAAUGCCAGAUUGAUAUUUUUAAAAUAAAUGAUUUGUUUGUUAAAUUUU